rnacentral:rRNA from 1 species
UACGUAGGCAGCGAGCGUUGUUCGGAGUUACUGGGCGUAAAGAGUGCGUAGGCGGUUUUCUAAGUUUGGUGUGAAAUCCCCCGGCUUAACCUGGGAACUGCGUCUGAUACUGGGAGGCUAGAGUUCGGGAGAGGGAUGUAGAAUUCCAGGUGUAGCGGUGAAAUGCGUAGAUAUCGAGAGGAACACCUGCGGCGAAGGCGGGUAGCUGGGCCGACACUGACGCUGAGGCGCGAAAGCCAGGGGAGCGAACGGG